GAUGAACGCUGGCGGCGUGCCUAAUACAUGCAAGUCGAGCGAACAGACGAGGAGCUUGCUCCUCUGACGUUAGCGGCGGACGGGUGAGUAACACGUGGAUAACCUAUCUAUAAGACUGGGAUAACUUCGGGAAACCGGAGCUAAUACCGGAUAAUAUAUUGAACCGCAUGGUUCAAUAGUGAAAGACGGUUUUGCUGUCACUUAUAGAUGGAUCCGCGCCGCAUUAGCUAGUUGGUAAGGUAACGGCUUACCAAGGCGACGAUGCGUAGGCGACCUGAGAGGGUGCUCGGCCACACUGGAACUGAGACACGGUCCAGACUCCUACGGGAGGCAGCAGUAGGGAAUCUUCCGCAAUGGGCGAAAGCCUGACGGAGCAACGCCGCGUGAGUGAUGAAGGUCUUCGGAUCGUAAAACUCUGUUAUUAGGGAAGAACAAAUGUGUAAGUAACUAUGCACGUCUUGACGGUACCUAAUCAGAAAGCCACGGCUAACUACGUG
rnacentral:rRNA from 1 species